rnacentral:rRNA from 1 species
AUUGAACGCUGGCGGCAGGCCUAACACAUGCAAGUCGAACGGUAGCACAGAGAGCUUGCUCUCGGGUGACGAGUGGCGGACGGGUGAGUAAUGUCUGGGAAACUGCCCGCUGGAGGGGGAUACCUACUGGAAACGGUAGCUAAUACCGCAUAACGUCGCAAGACCAAAGUGGGGGACCUUCGGGCCUCGUACCAUCGGAUGGGCACAGAGCGGAUUAGCUAGUAGGUGGGGUAAUGGCUCACCUAGGCGACGAGCCCUAGCUGGUCUGAGAGGAUGACCAGCCACACUGGAACUGAGACACGGUCCAGACUCCUACGGGAGGCAGCAGUGGGGAAUAUUGCACAAUGGGCGCAAGCCUGAUGCAGCCAUGCCGCGUGUAUGAAGAAGGCCUUCGGGUUGUAAAGUACUUUCAGCGGGGAGGAAGGCGGUGAAGUUAAUAACUUCACCGAUUGACGUUACCCGCAGAAGAAGCACCGGCUAACUCCGUGCCAGCCGCCGCCGUAA